AACGAACGCUGGCGGCGCGCCUAACACAUGCAAGUCGAGCGAUUAAAGCUCCUUCGGGAGUAUAUAAAGCGGCGGACGGGUGAGUAAGGCAUAGACAACCUGCCCUAAAGAGGGGGAUAGCUUGGAGAAAUUCGGGUUAAUACCGCGUAAGCUGUUUGAGGGAUAUCAACCAGUAAAGGCUUCGGCCGCUUUGGGAUGGGUCUAUGUUAGAUUAGAUAGUUGGUGGGGUAACGGCCUACCAAGUCGACGAUCUAUAACUGGUCUGAGAGGAUGAUCAGUCACACUGGAACUGAGACACGGUCCAGACUCCUACGGGAGGCAGCAGUGAGGAAUUUUGCGCAAUGGGCGAAAGCCUGACGCAGCGACGCCGCGUGGAGGACGAAGUCUUUCGAGAUGUAAACUCCUGUCAGUGGGGAUGAUAAUGACAGUACCCACAGAGGAAGCACCGGCUAACUCCGUGCCAGCAGCCGCGGUAAGACGGAGGGUGCAAGCGUUGUUCGGAUUUUCUGGGCGUAAAGCGUACGUAGGCGGGCCUUUAAGUCAGUGGUGAAAUCCUGCAGCUUAACUGUAGAACUGCCAUUGAUACUGAAGGCCUUGAGUAUAGUUGAGGUAGGCGGAAUGUGUAAUGUAGCGGUGAAAUGCUUAGAUAUUACACAGAACACCGAUUGCGUAGGCAGCUUACUAAGCUAUAACUGACGCUGAUGCACGAAAGCGUGGGGAGCGAAACAGGAUUAGAUACCCUGGUAGUCCACGCCGUAAACGAUGAUCACUCGUUGUUGGCGAUACACAGUCAGCGACUGAGCGAAAGCAUUAAGUGAUCCACCUGGGGAGUACGGUCGCAAGAUUGAAACUCAAAGGAAUUGACGGGGGCCCGCACAAGCGGAGGAACAUGUGGUUUAAUUCGAUAAUACGCGAGGAACCUUACCUGUUAAAAUGUAGAGUGCAUAAACGGGAAACUGUUUUUUCCUUCGGGACUCUUUACAAGGUGCUGCAUGGUUGUCGUCAGCUCGUGCCGUGAGGUGUCGGGUUAAGUCCCAUAACGAGCGCAACCCCUAUCGUUAGUUGCCAGCGAGUCAAGUCGGGGACUCUAACGAGACUGCCGGUGUAAACCGCGAGGAAGGUGGGGAUGACGUCAAAUCAGCACGGCCCUUACGUCCAGGGCUACACACGUGUUACAAUGGCCGAUACAAAGGGCAGCUACCAGGUGACUGGAUGCUAAUCUCUAAAGUCGGUCUUAGUUCGGAUCGAAGUCUGCAACUCGACUUCGUGAAGCUGGAUUCGCUAGUAAUCGUAUAUCAGCCAUGAUACGGUGAAUACGUGCCCGGGCCUUGUACACACCGCCCGUCAAGCCAUGGAAGCUGGGGGUACCUGAAGUCUGUCACCGCAAGGAGCGGCCUAGGGUAAAACUGGUAACUGGUGUU
rnacentral:rRNA from 1 species